GGUAUGACCAGUUCCAUUGGUGCCUUUUGGUACUGUGGAUAGGGGUACGGUUUUCCACCGUACCGAAACCUAGCAGAGGGCCAGUCUGGUGCCAGCAGCUGCGGUAAUUCCAGCUCUGCGAGUUUGCUCCCAUAUUGUUGCAGUUAAAACGCCCGUAGUCUGAAUUGGCCAGCAAUGGUCGUACGUAUUUUUACGUUCACUGUGAACAAAUCAGGACGCUUAGAGUAUGGCCACAUGAAUGACUCAGCGCAGUAUGAAGUCUUUGUUUUCUUCCGAAAACAAGCUCAAUGAGAGCCAUCGGGGGUAGAUCUAUCUCAUGACGAGUGGUGGAAUACUUUGACUCAUGAGAGAGAAGCUGAGGCGAAGGCGUCUACCUAGAGGGUUUCUGUCGAUCAAGGGCGAGAGUAGGAGUAUCCAACAGGAUUAGAGACCCUGGUAGUUCCUACCUUAAACGAUGCCGACAGGAGUUUGUCAUUUGUUAAUGGCAGAAUCUUUGGAGAAAUCAUAGUUCUUGGGCUCUGGGGGAACUACGACCGCAAGGCUGAAACUUGAAGGAAUUGACGGAAGGGCACACCAGGGGUGGAGCCUGUGGCUUAAUUUGAAUCAACACGGGGAAACUUACCAGGACCAGAUGUUUUUUAUGACUGACAGGCUUCGGGUCUUUCAGGAUAUUGUUUUUGGUGGUGCAUGGCCGUUGGUGGUGCGUGGGUUGACCUGUCUAGCGUUGAUUCAGCUAACGAGCGAGAUUAUCGCCAAUUAUUUACUUUGCCGAAGUCCUUCGGUUAAAGUUCUAAUUGGGACUCCCUGCGAUUUUAGCAGGUGGAAGAGGGUAGCAAU
rnacentral:ncRNA from 2 species